rnacentral:rRNA from 1 species
UACAGAGGGUGCAAGCGUUAUCCGGAUUUAUUGGGCGUAAAGCGUUUCGUAGGCGACCGGGUAAGUUACUUUUCAAAGACCACGGCUCAACCGGGGGAAGGGAAGUAAUACUAUCCAGUUAGAAAUGUGGUGGAGCUUCUGGAACUGAUGGUGUAGUAGUGAAAUACGUUGAUAUCAUCAGGAACUCCGAGGGCGAAGGCAAGAAGCUAAUCAUUUUUUGACGCUGAGGAACGACAGCUAGGGGA